rnacentral:misc_RNA from 1 species
CUAAAACCUCACAUCCCAAGUGGGUUGUGGUCAUGGGCCUCGCCCCCCUCUCCAUCGGGGUGGGGGGCGUGGCCUGAAAGGCAUCGGUCGCUGGCCCCUCCUUGGGUCUCGGUGUGCGAGUCUUCUUGACGUCUCGCCGGGACCGAUCGGGGGCAGGGGAGACCCUAAACUUCUGAAC